rnacentral:rRNA from 1 species
AUUGAACGCUGGCGGCAUGCCUUACACAUGCAAGUCGAACGGCAGCACGGGAGCAAUCCUGGUGGCGAGUGGCGAACGGGUGAGUAAUAUAUCGGAACGUGCCCGGUCGUGGGGAUAACGUAGCGAAAGCUACGCUAAUACCGCAUACGAUCUACGGAUGAAAGCGGGGGAUCGCAAGACCUCGCGCGAUUGGAGCGGCCGAUAUCAGAUUAGGUAGUUGGUGAGGUAAAGGCUCACCAAGCCGACGAUCUGUAGCUGGUCUGAGAGGACGACCAGCCACACUGGGACUGAGACACGGCCCAGACUCCUACGGGAGGCAGCAGUGGGGAAUUUGGACAAUGGGCGCAAGCCUGAUCCAGCAAUGCCGCGUGCAGGAUGAAGGCCUCGGUUGUAACUAGCUUUG